GCGUGUGACUGCGUACCUUUUGUAUAAUGGGUCAGCGACUUAUAUUCUGUAGCAAGGUUAACCGAAUAGGGGAGCCGAAGGGAAACCGAGUCUUAACUGGGCGUUAAGUUGCAGGGUAUAGACCCGAAACCCGGUGAUCUAGCCAUGGGCAGGUUGAAGGUUGGGUAACACUAACUGGAGGACCGAACCGACUAAUGUUGAAAAAUUAGCGGAUGACUUGUGGCUGGGGGUGAAAGGCCAAUCAAACCGGGAGAUAGCUGGUUCUCCCCGAAAGCUAUUUAGGUAGCGCCUCGUGAAUUCAUCUCCGGGGGUAGAGCACUGUUUCGGCAAGGGGGUCAUCCCGACUUACCAACCCGAUGCAAACUGCGAAUACCGGAGAAUGUUAUCACGGGAGACACACGGCGGGUGCUAACGUCCGUCGUGAAGAGGGAAACAACCCAGACCGCCAGCUAAGGUCCCAAAGUCAUGGUUAAGUGGGAAACGAUGUGGGAAGGCCCAGACAGCCAGGAUGUUGGCUUAGAAGCAGCCAUCAUUUAAAGAAAGCGUAAUAGCUCACUGGUCGAGUCGGCCUGCGCGGAAGAUGUAACGGGGCUAAACCAUGCACCGAAGCUGCGGCAGCGACGCUGAUGCGUUGUUGGGUAGGGGAGCGUUCUGUAAGCCUGUGAAGGUGUACUGUGAGGUAUGCUGGAGGUAUCAGAAGUGCGAAUGCUGACAUAAGUAACGAUAAAGCGGGUGAAAAGCCCGCUCGCCGGAAGACCAAGGGUUCCUGUCCAACGUUAAUCGGGGCAGGGUGAGUCGACCCCUAAGGCGAGGCCGAAAGGCGUAGUCGAUGGGAAACAGGUUAAUAUUCCUGUACUUGGUGUUACUGCGAAGGGGGGACGGAGAAGGCUAUGUUGGCCGGGCGACGGUUGUCCCGGUUUAAGCGUGUAGGCUGGUUUUCCAGGCAAAUCCGGAAAAUCAAGGCUGAGGCGUGAUGACGAGGCACUACGGUGCUGAAGCAACAAAUGCCCUGCUUCCAGGAAAAGCCUCUAAGCAUCAGGUAACAUCAAAUCGUACCCCAAACCGACACAGGUGGUCAGGUAGAGAAUACCAAGGCGCUUGAGAGAACUCGGGUGAAGGAACUAGGCAAAAUGGUGCCGUAACUUCGGGAGAAGGCACGCUGAUAUGUAGGUGAAGUCCCUCGCGGAUGGAGCUGAAAUCAGUCGAAGAUACCAGCUGGCUGCAACUGUUUAUUAAAAACACAGCACUGUGCAAACACGAAAGUGGACGUAUACGGUGUGACGCCUGCCCGGUGCCGGAAGGUUAAUUGAUGGGGUUAGCCGCAAGNGCUGCAACUGUUUAUUAAAAACACAGCACUGUGCAAACACGAAAGUGGACGUAUACGGUGUGACGCCUGCCCGGUGCCGGAAGGUUAAUUGAUGGGGUUAGCGCAANGGUGAAGUCCCUCGCGGAUGGAGCUGAAAUCAGUCGAAGAUACCAGCUGGCUGCAACUGUUUAUUAAAAACACAGCACUGUGCAAACACGAAAGUGGACGUAUACGGUGUGACGCCUGCCCGGUGCCGGAAGGUUAAUUGAUGGGGUUAGCCGCAAGGCGAAGCUCUUGAUCGAAGCCCCGGUAAACGGCGGCCGUAACUAUAACGGUCCUAAGGUAGCGAAAUUCCUUGUCGGGUAAGUUCCGACCUGCACGAAUGGCGUAAUGAUGGCCAGGCUGUCUCCACCCGAGACUCAGUGAAAUUGAACUCGCUGUGAAGAUGCAGUGUACCCGCGGCAAGACGGAAAGACCCCGUGAACCUUUACUAUAGCUUGACACUGAACAUUGAGCCUUGAUGUGUAGGAUAGGUGGGAGGCUUUGAAGUGUGGACGCCAGUCUGCAUGGAGCCGACCUUGAAAUACCACCCUUUAAUGUUUGAUGUUCUAACGUUGACCCGUANAGCCUUGAUGUGUAGGAUAGGUGGGAGGCUUUGAAGUGUGGACGCCAGUCUGCAUGGAGCCGACCUUGAAAUACCACCCUUUAAUGUUUGAUGUUCUAACGUGGACCCGUGNGCUUGACACUGAACAUUGAGCCUUGAUGUGUAGGAUAGGUGGGAGGCUUUGAAGUGUGGACGCCAGUCUGCAUGGAGCCGACCUUGAAAUACCACCCUUUAAUGUUUGAUGUUCUAACGUUGACCCGUAAUCCGGGUUGCGGACAGUGUCUGGUGGGUAGUUUGACUGGGGCGGUCUCCUCCUAAAGAGUAACGGAGGAGCACGAAGGUUGGCUAAUCCUGGUCGGACAUCAGGAGGUUAGUGCAAUGGCAUAAGCCAGCUUGACUGCGAGCGUGACGGCGCGAGCAGGUGCGAAAGCAGGUCAUAGUGAUCCGGUGGUUCUGAAUGGAAGGGCCAUCGCUCAACGGAUAAAAGGUACUCCGGGGAUAACAGGCUGAUACCGCCCAAGAGUUCAUAUCGACGGCGGUGUUUGGCACCUCGAUGUCGGCUCAUCACAUCCUGGGGCUGAAGUAGGUCCCAAGGGUAUGGCUGUUCGCCAUUUAAAGUGGUACGCGAGCUGGGUUUAGAACGUCGUGAGACAGUUCGGUCCCUAUCUGCCGUGGGCGCUGGAGAACUGAGGGGGGCUGCUCCUAGUACGAGAGGACCGGAGUGGACGCAUCACUGGUGUUCGGGUUGUCAUGCCAAUGGCACUGCCCGGUAGCUAAAUGCGGAAGAGAUAAGUGCUGAAAGCAUCUAAGCACGAAACUUGCCCCGAGAUGAGUUCUCCCUGACUCCUUGA
rnacentral:rRNA from 1 species